AGCAGCCGCGGUAAUUCCAGCUCCAAUAGCGUAUAUUAAAGUUGUUGCAGUUAAAAAGCUCGUAGUUGAAUUUCGAGACCGGUCUACUGGUCGUGCUUUUGUACGUACUGGUAUAAUCGGUUUCUCUCUUCUGACGAACUAUAAUGCCAUUAAUUUGGUGUUUUAGGGAAUCAGGACUGUUACUUUGAAAAGAUUAGAGUGUUUAAAGCAGGCUCACGCUUGAAUACAUUAGCAUGGAAUAACGAAAUAGGACGUUUGAUUCUAUUUUGUUGGUUUCUAGGAUCGACGUAAUGAUUAAUAGGGAUAGUUGGGGGCAUUAGUAUUCAAUUGUCAGAGGUGAAAUUCUUGGAUUUAUUGAAGACUAACUACUGCGAAAGCAUUUGCCAAGGAUGUUUUCAUUAAUCAAGAACGAAAGUUAGGGGAUCGAAGACGA
rnacentral:rRNA from 1 species